rnacentral:rRNA from 1 species
CCUAGUAACUGCGAGUGAAGCGGGAAAAGCUCAAAUUUAAAAUCUGGCGCAAGCCCGAGUUGUAACCUAGAGAAGUGUUUUCGGCCGUUGUACUUGGACAAGUCCCUUGGAACAGGGCGUCAUAGAGGGUGAGAAUCCCGUGCUUGCCAAGCUCACAAUGUCUAUGCGAUACGCUUUCGAAGAGUCGAGUUGUUUGGGAAUGCAGCUCAAAUUGGGUGGUAAAUUCCAUCUAAAGCUAAAUAUUGGCGAGAGACCGAUAGCGAACAAGUACCGUGAGGGAAAGAUGAAAAGAACUUUGGACAGAGAGUUAAACAGUACGUGAAAUUGCUGAAAGGGAAGCGCUUGAAGUCAGUCGCGUCGGCAGGGACUCAGCCUUAACCGGUGCAUUUCCUUGUCGACGGGCCAACAUCGAUUUCGACCGUGGGAGAAGGGCUUGAGGAAAGUGGCAGCUUCGGUUGUGUUAUAGCCUCCUGUCGUAUGCCACGGUCGGGAUCGAGGACCGCGGCUUUUGCCUAGGAUGUUGGCGUAAUGGCUUUAAGCGACCCGUCUUGAAACACGGACCAAGGAGUCUAACAUGUCUGCGAGUGUUCGGGUGUCAAACCCGUGCGCGCAAUGAAAGUAAACGUAGGUGGGAGGCUUCGGCCGCACCAUCGACCGAUCCGGAUCUUUUGGGAUGGAUUUGAGUAAGAGCAUAUAUGUUGGGACCCGAAAGAUGGUGAACUAUGCCUGAAUAGGGCGAAGCCAGAGGAAACUCUGGUGGAGGCUCGUAGCGAUUCUGACGUGCAAAUCGAUCGUCAAAUUUGGGUAUAGGGGCGAAAGACUAAUCGAACCAUCUAGUAGCUGGU